rnacentral:tRNA from 1 species
GGGCCGGUCGUCUAGACGGUUAGGACAUCCGCUUGACGCGCGGAAGGUCACCGGUUCGAGUCCGGUCCGGCCCA